AGUGAACGCUGGCGGUAGGCCUAACACAUGCAAGUCGAACGGCAGCACAGUAAGAGCUUGCUCUUACGGGUGGCGAGUGGCGGACGGGUGAGGAAUACAUCGGAAUCUACUUUUUCGUGGGGGAUAACGUAGGGAAACUUACGCUAAUACCGCAUACGACCUACGGGUGAAAGCAGGGGAUCUUCGGACCUUGCACGAUUGAAUGAGCCGAUGUCGGAUUAGCUAGUUGGUGGGGUAAAGGCCCACCAAGGCGACGAUCCGUAGCUGGUCUGAGAGGAUGAUCAGCCACACUGGAACUGAGACACGGUCCAGACUCCUACGGGAGGCAGCAGUGGGGAAUAUUGGACAAUGGGCGCAAGCCUGAUCCAGCCAUACCGCGUGGGUGAAGAAGGCCUUCGGGUUGUAAAGCCCUUUUGUUGGGAAAGAAAAGCAGCAGGUUAAUACCCCGCUGUUCUGACGGUACCCAAAGAAUAAGCACCGGCUAACUUCGUG
rnacentral:rRNA from 1 species